GUCUUAGUGUUUAUAGCAUAAUGGAACCACUCUGAUCCAUACCGAACUCAGCUGUGAAACGUUAUAGCGGCGAUAAUACUGAAAAGGGGGCUUUUUGGGAAGGUAGCUCAAUGCUAAGACUAAAAAAACAAAAAUACCAC
rnacentral:rRNA from 1 species